UACGGAGGGUGCAAGCGUUAUCCGGAUUCACUGGGUUUAAAGGGUGCGUAGGAGGGCAGGUAAGUCAGUGGUGAAAUCUUCGAGCUUAACUCGGAAACUGCCGUUGAUACUAUCUGUCUUGAAUACCGUGGAGAUGAGCGGAAUAUGUCAUGUAGCGGUGAAAUGCUUAGAUAUGACAUAGAACACCAAUUGCGAAGGCAGCUUACUAAACAAAUAUUGACGCUGAGGCACGAAAGCGUGGGGAUCAAACAGG
rnacentral:rRNA from 1 species